CAAUAGCGUAUAUUAAAGUUGUUGCAGUUAAAAAGCUCGUAGUUGGAUUUCUGGCUCGGCAAGCCUAGCCCGAGGACCUGGUGUCCUUGUGAGCUGGCGCUUGUCGGCCAUCCUUCAGGAGAGUGUUUCUGCCCUUGAUUGGGUUGGGGACAGGAUCCUGAUCGUUUACUUUGAAAAAAUUAGAGUGUUCAAAGCAGGCGUGUGCUGUGAAUACAUUAGCAUGGAAUAAUAAGAUAGGACUUCGGCCCUAUUUUGUUGGUUCUGGAGCUGAGGUAAUGAUUGAUAGGGAUAGUUGGGGGUGCUCGUAUUCAACGGCCAGAGGUGAAAUUCUUGGAUUCGUUGAAGACGAACUUAUGCGAAAGCAUUCACCAAGGAUGUCUUCUUUAA
rnacentral:rRNA from 1 species